rnacentral:tRNA from 1 species
CGCUGAGUAGCUAAAUAAUCAAAGCAUUAGCCUUUUAAGCUAAAGAUCGGUGGUUCAAAACCACCCUCAGCGA